rnacentral:tRNA from 1 species
GGGUCAGUGGCACAAUUGGUUAGCGCGUUCGACUUUUAAUCGAAAUGUUGUGGGUUCGAGUCCCACCUGACCUAC